UUUCUCCUUGUAGAAUAUAGAUGUGACAAACUUCAGCAGCAGCUGGAGUGAUGGCCUGGCGUUCUGUGCUCUGUUACACACCUAUCUGCCUGCACACAUCCCUUACCAAGAGCUCAUCAGCCAAGACAAGGGGCGAAACCUCACCCUGGCUUUCCAAGCAGCCGAAAGCAUUGGUAUUAAGCCCUCUCUGGACAUUGAUGAGUUGAUGCACACAGACCGACCGGACUGGCAAAGUGUCAUGCAAUAUGUAUCUCAGAUCUAUAAGUAUUUUGAGACUUAAUUUUUGACUGGAAGAAAGGAAGAGGAAGAUGAAGACGAAGAGGAGGGCACAGAAGCACUUUUAUUUGCCUGGUCCAGUUCUCCCUACAGUGUUUGUAAAUACACAAACACACAGUUCUGUAGUGUUCACACCAGUCAGGUUUUCUCUCUGAAUGCAACCAGCAUAUCAUAUUCAGUACAAUAGUCAUACACACGCAAACACACAACUUCUCUUUUCCUUACAAUUCGUGUGUCAUAUAGACCUAACUUAGUUUUUGAAGUUUGAAGUUGCUUGCAGAGUGCAGGUUAGCAAUCUUGCACUGAAACUGGUAUAGUUUUUUUAGUAUGUUACAUUUUUGCUAAGAGUUGAAGUGCAGCUGCUAAUCUUUAUAGAGAGUAUUAUUACCCAAAUCUAUAUAUUGACAUACUUAUAUAUUGAUAUACUUAUAAAGUAUUUUUAAAAUGUUAGUUUUCCCACA
rnacentral:lncRNA from 1 species